UACGUAGGGGGCAAGCGUUGUCCGGAUUUAUUGGGCGUAAAGAGCGUGUAGGCGGCCUGGAAGGUCAGCUGUGAAAACUCGAGGCUCAACCUCGAGACGUCGGUUGAAACCACCUGGCUAGAGUCCGGAAGAGGAGUGUGGAAUUCCCGGUGUAGCGGUGGAAUGCGCAGAUAUCGGGAGGAACACCAGUGGCGAAGGCGACUUCCUGGCCUGUUCUUGACGCUGAGGCGCGAAAGCUAGGGGAGCAAACGGG
rnacentral:rRNA from 1 species